rnacentral:rRNA from 1 species
CCUACGGGGUGCAGCAGUGAGGAAUAUUGGUCAAUGGACGAGAGUCUGAACCAGCCAAGUAGCGUGAAGGAUGACUGCCCUAUGGGUUGUAAACUUCUUUUAUAAAGGAAUAAAACGAGGCACGUGUGCCUUUUUGCAUGUACUUUAUGAAUAAGGAUCGGCUAACUCCGUGCCAGCAGCCGCGGUAAUACGGAGGAUCCGAGCGUUAUCCGGAUUUGUUGGGUUUAAAGGGAGCGUAGAUGGGUUGUUAAGUCAGUUGUGAAAGUUUGCGGCUCAACCGUAAAAUUGCAAUUGAUACUGGCAGUCUUGAGUACAGUUGAGGUAGGCGGAAUUCGUGGUGUAGCGGUGAAAUGCUUAGAUAUCACGAAGAACCCCGAUUGCGAAGGCAGCUUACUAAACUGUGACUGACAUUGAUGCUCGAAAGUGUGGGUAUCAAACAGGAUUAGAUACCCCGGUAGUC